CCUCGGCGGCGAGGAUCGGCGGCAGCCGGAGGCGCGGGGUAGGCGGCCGCGGUUCCUGUGCCUGCACGGGUUCCGCACCAGCGCCGAGAUCAUGCGCAAGCAGGUGGUGGGCAAGUGGCCCGCCGACGUCACGGCGCGCCUCGACCUCGUCUUCGCCGACGCGCCCUUCCCCGCCGAGGGCAAGUCCGACGUCGACGGCAUCUUCGACCCGCCCUACUACGAGUGGUUCCAGUUCGACAAGGUCCGCCCCGCGCGCCCGGCCAUUGCUCCUCUCCCAUCCCCUCCUCUGAUCCGAAUCCGAUCCUUCCCCGAUUAUAACUCGUCAAAUUAAAUUUAUGGUUGGGUCCGUCCUUUUCUUUGUAAUCCUUUUCAUGCGCGUGCCGUUAUUUGUGUGGAUCUGAGAUUGGUCAGCUUGUCCAUGUGCUCAUCACCGAUCUCUGCUUAUUGAAACAGGAGUUUACAGAGUACAAGAAUUUCGACAAGUGCCUCGCCUACAUCGAGGAGCUCAUGAUCAAGGAUGGCCCCUUCGACGGAUUGAUGGGUUUCUCCCAGGUACGAAGCUCAGUUUGAGAAUUGGGACCACUUCUCCUUCAAAUACUGUACUGAUUAACAAGGUUCGCGAUUAACGUUUGUGAAUCAUGAUGUUGAUACCAGGGUGCCAUUCUUUCCGCGGCGCUUCCCGGGCUCCAAGAACAAGUGAGUUCACGGUUCAUAUAUGCUAUAUAUACUUCAAAGCAGAGCAUGUUAAGCUCUGCUGCUAGUUCUUAGUGCUUGCAUCUUUCACUAACCAUAUCGCCUGCUUUGUGCUCUUUUUCAUGGCAGGGGCUGGCCCUGACUAGAGUUCCCAAGAUCAAGUACCUGAUCAUCAUCGGCGGCGCCAAGUUCCUGUCGCCGACUGUGGCCGAGAAGGCGUACGCCAACAAGAUCGCGUGCACCUCGCUUCACUUCAUCGGUAACCGAAUGACUUGGCGCGUCAUUCCAUUUCCAUUGCUAUGCUAGUUUGUUGCUUGGUUGCGUCCAAAGCGUUGUUGCUUUGGUAGGGACGUCGUUGCGUGCUGCCGUUUCCGCAUCUUUUUGCUCUUGCCGGCAUGUCAGCUUAAUUGAUGGAGACGGCAUUGCAUAUUUGCAUUCUGCUAUUGCUUUGGCUUUAUGUUUAGACCGGCGUCUUCUUGUCUAGUCAUGUAGGCGAUACGCUGCAUAAAAAUUCCUCUAGAAAGAGAGAAUAAUGCGUGAAUAAGAAACUAACGAGUAUGCCCGCUUUUGCAUCCAUUGUCGAGAUUAUUUUUCUCGUCCACAAAGUAAUGGUUGCCAUACCCCUUGACGUUCCAUCAUGCAUUUAAACUAGUGCUGUCGUGCUAAACUUUAGAUGCACAUGGUCCAAUUCUAGAAGUCUUUUCAGUUCAUCAUUAUUAUUUAAUUUGGUAGAUGUAUUAUAGGUGAACCGGUGGUUAGUAUACAAUGAAGCACAAGCAGCAGUGAAGACUGAACACGUUUCCAUGCUCUGUGCAGGUGACAACGACUUCCUGAAAACCCAUGGUGAGAAGCUCAUAGAAUCAUGCGUCGACCCGUUCGUCAUCCGUCACCCAAAGGGCCACACAGUUCCAAGGCUCGGUAAGCUCCUACGCCUUUCCAAUUUUCGGUGCUAAUGCUUUUCAACCGAACCAAAUUUCUCUUCUUCAUUCAGUCUAAUCCAGGGUUCAGCACCCUUUGAUUUUGCGUGGAUGUGGAACAGACCUUUACUAACCGAGUCUUCCAGUAGCAGUUAAUGUUUUUGCCGAAAUAUUAACGGCGCCUGACCACCAAACUAACCACAAUGUAUGACUGUUCUUUGUCGCGCAGAUGACAAGAGCCUUCAAGUCAUGCUCCGUUUCCUUGAGAAGAUUGAGAAGGAGACAUCUGAGCAUGCGUCCACCGAUGUUGACGAAAAAGAAGUGUGCUUGUGAUAGGACGUAGGUUAUUAGCAUCUGAAUACUCAUGAUACUAGUAUUGUAGAAAUAAACAUACAACUGUAGCCUCGUUAUUUUGAGGCACGACUAUUCUGUACCUAAAUGAAGAAUAAUCAUUUUGUAUCUUCUAUUCACUUCAAUUUGCUGAAUACUCCCUCCGUUUCGAACUGCAGGCUGUUUUAUCUUUUUUUAGAUUUAUAGGUAUUAUUAUACAUCUAUAUAUAGACUAGAUAUGCACAGUGGAAUGGAGGUGCACAGUGGAAUGGAGGGGUAAUAUCUGAUCCACAGGUUCAUGACACGGAGCUAGCGCAUAUCACACAUUGAAAUGCUACAUCGCUGUAGUUUGCUCAGGCCUGUACAAAGUUUAGGCCAAUUUGACUAACUUGGCUUCCGUGCAUAUGGACAGAAAAAUAUAUAGUUCGCAGACAUAUAGAGUGUGCUAUCCCAAACAAAAACUACUCCAAUAAUCCUAUUUGCUGGAUUUUUAAUAGAGCAACUGUGCACUGGCCAGCCAGAGAUGCAUGCAGUGGAAUUUAAAAUCCCUCGGUCCUGUUUGAGACGAAUGCAAUUGGGUUGGUGGGGGGAAUGCGUUCGUUUUCAUGUCCAAAUAAAAAAGAAAUUAGUUCGACAUGGGGAAUUAAGUAACACACACGAUUGAAAAUUAGAAGUGACAGGAAAAAAUUAUCUCAGUGUUUAGGUACUGGAGAAAAGAAUAUCACUUCAAGCAAAAACAGAAAGGUCCAUCUAGGCCUUUGAAUCUAAAACAAACGUCUUUGAUUAACAACCCCAUAACCUUGGAGAAGAAAAAGGAGAAGCUGACUGGUGUUCUGAAAAAAAAAACCCCGCGUGCCGGAACGGUGAGAAAUGUCCGGGGUGCAUUUUAGCAGCCCUAAAACACAAUGACGCCCGAGCAACUCCAAGAGUACUCUAAAAAAUUCUUCCCCAAAACUAUGUAUUGGGGGUUCUUUAAAAAAAAAUUUCCCCUAAAAACAUAUCAAUCCACAACAGAUCGCUAAUAAAUAGCCCCCAAUAUUUUAAAACAGGCCACGUCAUCGUAUUGGGCCCAUCGGAAGGGACGCGCGAGUGUGCGGGAAUCAGGAUUGGAGGAGGAAUGCCAACGCUAAAAUAUACGCGGUGGUAGGCUGUUUUUUAGCGUUGCUAAAAAAUUGGGGAAGGUUUGGGUGGACUGUUGGAGUUCGUUUUUUCUCCUUUUUCCCUAAAAAAAAUAUUGGGGGUAAGAUUAGCGGCCUCUUGGAGUUGCUCACAAUUGAAACGAGGGUUAAGCUCACGUUAAAGUUCAUCAAAAACUGUGGAGCGCAGAGUAUACCACUCCCACGAAUUAUUUGAGGCCAUUCAAACGAACCAGCUACUUGCAUAGAAAUAAAACCUGUACAACAACUCAUCUGCAAAUUCUUCUUCUUCUUCCUUUUUUGUGAAGAAAGCUCAGACAGCCCUGCUGAAUCUGUGCGGGGCAUGGUUGAUCAACUUGCAGAUAAACUGCAACAGCCACGUCAGUACGCUAGAUCAGUCAUUUUCCCUCUGUAUAAGAUUGGUUCAUUGGUUGGAUCCGUGCUCCACAAUCGUUAAUCUCGGCAGGCGGCACUUGUCUCCUCGCCGGCUGGCCAGCUUAAAACAAGACGCGACAGAAGUCACGAAGGCAUCCGCACCCCAAUCAUGGCUAUGGUUGGCUGAUCCUCCCGUGAUCUUCAGAACAAAACAGUGGCACGCCCCCCGGAGUCCCACGCCCCCCUUUCUGUCCUUGCUCCCCAUGGAUUUGAUCCGUACUCCUCCAGCGAGAUGCCCGCGGCUGCGGCCGCGGCAGCUCGCACCCUCCGCCGCGGCGCCACCAGCUUCCGUUUCUUGGGCAGCGCUCCCCUGCCACCUACCAGCCUACGCCGCCGCGCCCUCCCCCCACCAGCGCGAUCGCCGGCCGCGCCGCGGCCUGCGGCUUCGGAACGCCGGCAGCGAGGGGGAGGCGGCGCUAGCGGGGCGGCGGCGGCCGCGGUUCCUGUGCUUGCACGGGUUCCGGACCAGCGCCGAGAUCUUGCGCAAGCAGGUGGUGGGGAGAUGGCCCGCCGACGUCACGGCGCGCCUCGACCUCGUCUUCGCCGACGCGCCCUUCCCCGCCGAGGGCAAGUCCGACGUCGAUGGCAUCUUCGACCCGCCCUACUACGAGUGGUUCCAGUUCGCCGGCGAGGUCCGUUCCCCAUCGCAUUGACCAGCAAGUAGCAACGCUGGCUGCUGACAAGUUUCCUCUCCGCUGCUUCAG
rnacentral:lncRNA from 1 species